CUAGCUGUUUCUCCCUGCUUCCUGUCUUCAUGCUAAACUAAGCUAACCCAGUCCCGGUUCUGGCUCAGUAGCUAACAGGCAUUAGAGUGGUGUCGAUCUUCUCAUCUAACUUUCAGCCAAAAAAACAAAUGAGCGUAUUUCCCAAAAUGUCAAACUAUUCCUCUGAGGGGCAGCUAGCUUGUGCUAUUCCUUGACUGUUGCACACUAUCGUUAGGCUACUCUGAACAAAACCAAGGCCAACAGUUUCCCCCUGCAUCCAUUCUUUGCACUAAGGUAGGCUAAACAAAGUCCUAGACUUAUCUCUGCACUGAAGAAUUAAACUGGUGCCAAUCUUCUCCUCAGACCACAAUGCUGAAUGGCGGGGCCUCUCUCAGGAGGGAGAAGAAGGAAUACCUUGGCACAGUGCUAUCAUUUCCCCGAGACGCUACCAACCUCUCAGCUAUGAGCUUCUCUUUCUGUGCAGAUUUAACAGUUUUAAUAAAAACUGUAAUAA